rnacentral:sRNA from 1 species
UUUGGCACAACCAUUUAAAACCAACUGAAUACAAAAAUAAAUAAUCAGUGAUAGAAAAAAAUGUAAAAUUUUAUGAUCCAUAUGUACAUCAAAACGAGACAUUUCGACAUUUUUUUCCGCCUUCUUUCGUUCGUUAUCUUAUAGCUAAUUAAAUCUAAUA